GUCUCACAAAACCAAAUUGCGUCUUUGCUUGUUGGGACUUGGAGUGCCAGAGGUGUCCAAUAGAUGACAUAGGUGUGUUCUUGUUUAUCAGGUGAUGGCGGAUUGUUGAGUGGUUUUGGUUUUUCUAAAGUUUUUCCAUAAAAAUUACCGAUGAAUUCAUAAGAAUUCAAGUUUACUUCUGUGCAACCUGUUGUGAUGUUAUUUAUUCCGUAUGAGUUUUGGAUCACCUUUCAUAUUUCUUAUUAUAACGUGUAGGAAUGAAUAACGUGAAAGGCAACUAGCCUCUACGAGUAGCCUACCAUCAAUUCUUUCAUUAAAAAUCGUCGUUCUAUUGAAUGCUUCAUCAUAAUACGGUCACUAACCCCAGUGUGGACACUAGUUGUUUUUUCCAAACAUGUUUUCUACAAAUAAUAUUGACAGACAACGACAACUAUGGGAAUAUAAUCAAGGCCAUGGGUAAUCUUCAUCAGGUUUAUUGCAUAAACUUGAGAGAAUUCUCUUGAAAAGAUGCAGGACCCAUACCAACAUGUGCUGUAUUUCUCUGAAUGUUUUACUCGAGCAGUAGGAAGCAAUUAACUUUAGCGCAAUUAGUUUAUAGCGCCGUCAAGAAGCUGUGUUGUGUGUGUUGAUCGUCUCCACCAUGCACGCGAUAAUCAAGACCAGCAACGCCUUGACCAAGAAGAAGAAAAUAACGCAGAAGCAAAGAACGACGAUGUAAAUAGCGGGAACAGUUUUCCACACUGGUACGCUGUAUGACGUAGAGCAUUGCCAAAAUGGAAGUGCUCUUUGAAGAACUGAACGUCUAAAUCUUCUUCAGUCAGAUGAAGCUAACGGAUUCGGAAAUCGCCGAAGAAGCAGAGGCCAUCACAGCUGAAAAAAAAACGUGAGUCAAACGCCUGUGAGAAAUAGAUGUCAACUGGUGAAAAUAAAUAAGAAGGUGAUAUGGAAUUUUUCUUUUCU